rnacentral:rRNA from 1 species
GUCCUACGGGGGGCAGCAGUGGGGGAUAUUGCACAAUGGGGGGAACCCUGAUGCAGCGACGCCGCGUGGGUGAAGGAGCGUUUUGGCGCGUAAAGCCCUAUCGGCAGGGAAGAAGGAGGACGGUACCUGACUAAGAAGCCCCGGCUAACUACGUGCCAGCAGCCGCGGUAAUACGUAGGAUGCGAGCGUUAUCCGGAUUUAUUGGGUUUAAAGGGUGCGUAGGCGGGCUUUUAAGUCAGCGGUAAAAAUUCGGG